GAUGAAGAACGGAGUGAAAUGCGAUAACUAAUGUGAAUUGCAGAAUUCAGUGAAUCAUCGAGUCUUUGAACGCACAUUGCGCCCCCUGGUAUUCCGGGGGGCAUGCCUGUCCGAGCGUCAUUGCUGCCCUCAAGCACGGCUUGUGUGUUGGGCUCCGUCCCCCCGGGGACGGGCCCGAAAGGCAGCGGCGGCACCGAGUCCGGUCCUCGAGCGUAUGGGGCUUUGUCACCCGCUCUGUAGGCCCGGCCGGCGCCAGCCGACAACCCAUCAUCCUUUUCAGGUUGACCUCGGAUCAGGUAGGGAUACCCGCUGAACUUAAGCAUAUCAAUAAGCGGAGGA
rnacentral:misc_RNA from 1 species